rnacentral:rRNA from 1 species
AGCUCUCAUGGCGUAUAUCGUCAUUGUUGCAGUUAAAAAGCUCGUAGUUGGAUGUCAGCGAUUGGCCGUGGUCCGCUCUUUGGGCGUGCACUGCGUGCCUUCGUUAACGCGCCGGUCUUUGGCCGCUCCUCACGGUGCGGUCAUGGCUGGCAAGAUUACUUUGAACAAAUCAGAGUGCUUAAAACAGGCUUGUGCCUGAAUGAUCUUGCAUGGAAUAAUGGAAUAGGACUGCGGUUCUAUUUUGUUGGUUCUCGGAACCGUAGUAAUGAUUAAGAGGAACAAACGGGGGCAUUCGUAUCGCUGCGCGAGAGGUGAAAUUCUUAGACCGUAGCGGGACGCCCAAUUGCGAAAGCAUUUGCCAAGAAUGUUUUCA